GCUUAUAGUACUUUUGACCAAGUAUAAAAAUAAGGGGCUCAUUAUGCAAACAAACAUACAUGCAGAGAAAUCAUGUUAGUUCUAGAAUUUGUAGCCCCCCUUAAAUAACCUCUAGUUUUUUUCUUAUUCAUCAUCACCUUUACAUGUACUUUUGACAUUCCCUCAAUUAAGACUUUAUGCUUAAAAUCAGCGUUGCACAUCAUAAAAU